UACGCCCAUAUCACAUUGAAAUACCGGUUCCCGUAAGAUCACCGAAGUUAAGGUACGUGAAGUCUGGUCCGUACCAACAUGUGUGACAACUUGGGAAUACCAGGUGAAGCAA